rnacentral:rRNA from 1 species
UGUGGUGGCGAGAGCAAGAAGGGGAUACACCUGUUCCCAUGCCGAACACAGAAGUUAAGCUUCUUCACGCCGAGAGUAGUUGGUGGGAAACUGCCUGCGAGGGUAGGAAGCUGCCACGC